CUCCUUCCGGUCAGUGAGGCAGCUGUACCUGAUCAUCAACGGGAAGGGAUUCCUUCCAGUUGAUGAGUUAAAUCUUCCUCAUCAACCGGAAUGAAUCCCUUCUGGUUGAUGAGGUUUAGCUUCCUCAUUGACUGGGGGAG
rnacentral:miRNA from 1 species